rnacentral:rRNA from 1 species
UAGACUGAUCCCCUUUUCCUCAGAGGAGAGACUAUUGGAUAUCACGGUCCAGGACUCAGGAAUUCGUCGGUCGUAUCAUGGAUCAAAAUAUGAGUGUCUAAAGCGAGCAUUAGCCUCGGAUAGUAUUCAGCAUAGUAGAGACAGAUAUAUGAUUUGGCCGUCUUUUUUUUUCUUCGGAUCGAGUGUAAUGUUUGAGAGGCACUGGGGGGGCGCUUUUAUUUUCUCUUUCUCAGGGGAGAAAUUUCUGGGAUUUUAGAGAGGGAGAUUUCUGGAGAAAGGCAUUUCCCAAGGGUUUUUUUCUUAUAAACAAAAAGAAAAAUGGGGGGGGGGAAGAGGAAUUUGAGACCGUCUUAGUGUCUACACCAAAAAGAUACCCAGUAGAGGGGAGGGGAGGGUGUUUUUUAGUGACUCCCUCAGCACCUUAUGAGAAAUCAAAGUUUUUGGGUUCCGGGGAGAGUAUGGUCGCAAGGCUGAAACUUAAAGGAAUUGACGGAAGGGCACCCCCCGGCGUGGAGCCUGCGGGUUAAUUUGACUCAACACGGGGAAACUUACCAGGUCCCGACAUAGUGAGGAUUGACAGAUUGAGAGCUCUUUCUUGAUUUUAUGGGUGGUGGUGCAUGGCCGUUUUUAGUUGGUGGGGUGCCUUGUCAGGUUGAUUCCGGUAACGAACGAGACCUCCGCCUGCUAAAUAGUUGCCAUAUUUUUUUGCAGCGGGCUGCACUUUUUGGAGGGACUUUGGGGGUUUAUUAAAAGGAAGUUGGGGCCAAUACCAGUUUUGUGAUGCCUUUAGAUGUCUGGGGCCCCCCCCGCGCUCCAUUGACCCAUUCACAGAGCUUUCCUUGUCCGAAGGGUUUGGGUAAUUUUUUAAAAUUGCUUCGGGAUGGGGAUAGAUUAUUCCAAUUAUUAUUUUUAAAGGAGGAAUUCUUAGUAAGUCCAGUUCAUCAGCUUGCGUUGAUUACGUCCCUCCCCUUUGUCCCCCCCGCCCGUCGCCCCUACCGAUUGGUGGAUUGGGAAAUCGUUGGGAUGGCCAUCAGGGGUCCAACACGUCAUUGGGCGGAGAAGGUCAUAAACCCUCCCACCUAGAGAAGAGAAGUCGAGCAAGACGUCCAG